UACGGAGGGUGCAAACGUUGCUCGGAAUCAUUGGGCGUAAAGCGCACGUAGGCGGCCUGUUAAGUCGGAUGUGAAAGCCCCGGGCUCAACCCGGGAAGUGCAUACGAAACUGGCAUGCUUGAAUAUGGAAGAGGGUCGCGGAAUUCCCGGUGUAGAGGUGAAAUUCGUAGAUAUCGGGAGGAACACCAGUGGCGAAGGCGGCGACCUGGGCCAAUAUUGACGCUGAGGUGCGAAAGCGUGGGGAGCAAACAGG
rnacentral:rRNA from 1 species